rnacentral:tRNA from 1 species
GCCUGGGUGGCUCAGUCGGUUAAGCGGCCGACUUCGGCUCAGGUCAUGAUCUCGCGGUCCGUGGGUUCAAGCCCCACAUCGGGCU